AUUGAUUCAACUUAUCCUCCUCAUAAAAAACCAAGAGGACAUGUGUCAUGCUAUAUUGGCCUGCAGGUUGUCUAAGGUCUGGGCGGUGAGCUUGAAAAUGCAAGGAGGGCUGCAAUAUUAGAUGCUGAGGGCUUGACAGGAAUUGUUUCAAAGCAUAGUCAGUCACUCAUAAAAGCCCAAGGUUUUCAAAAUUUGGAAAUGAAAAAUAUACCAGAAGAAAAUGGGUUUCACCAGACUUUAAAAAGUUUUGUUCAGAAUGCCGAGGUUGAUGUUACGUGGUUACUCGAGGAAGAGAAAAGAAUAAUAGCUCUGGUAAAGAGCACAGCAGAUUACUUUCAUGGAAAUGCUGGGAAGGAUGAGGGUAUACGAUUAUUUUUUAUUGUUCGGGAUUUUCUUAUAAUUUUAGACAAGGUAUGUAAAGAAGUGAAAAAUUUGCCAAUAAAACCAAAUACGACACCUCGGAAAGAAAAGUCGACUGUGGCACCUGCCGAUCCCCGCCAGAAUCCUCCCAUUGAGAGGUAAACAUAUGUUAAGGUGAAGUAUCAUUUUUAGAAGAUAAGAUAGCUUCAGGUGAAGUUAAUCUUGAGAAAAUUCAUGAUGAUGUAUGUCCAUUUGAUAUGAGACUUAAAAUGAUUUCAACUAGUAAGUUUAACUUUGGUUUAUCAAUUCUGUGUAUUGAUAAUGGAUAAUUCUUUUGUAGGUACCGGGCAAUGAUGAUGGGUGAGUUUGAAUGCGCACUAUUGCAUACUAGGGAAUGUUUACAUUUUUGGAACCAAGGUGAAGAUUGAAAGUUAAAAAUGUGUUUCCAAAAAUUACAACUCUUUAAGUGGUUGAAGCCACAUGGCAAAAUUCUAUUGGCAAUUUUGGCUUUCACAAGGAUUGGUUUUUGUUUGGAAAAAACAAGGACCAUUGAUUAAAAUCAAUGGUUGAGAAUUAGAUCCACUUUUAUAUUACUUGGUGGACUUUUCAUUCACGUGGACGGCUUUGGCAAUUAGGUGGGCAGAUUCUUUUCUUUCAAUUUGGGCUCCUCUUCCUUUCGUCUCUCUCUCUCUCGAUGCCCUUUCUUGGUGAUUUCUCAAGGUUUUCCACUUGUAUUAAAUCUGAAAUUCUGACCGGUGGUUGAUGAGGUAUCAACGGUAGUAUUUCGGCUAUUUUGUGGUCUACGGUCCGGUGGUAUUUUGGCCGGAAAUCUGGUCCGUUUUCAGCGAAGAAAUAGUCGAUGUUUGGUAUUGUAUUUGAGCAGUUUUUAGCCUUGUAUUGGUGGAGAUUAAACUGUGAAGUCAGAUACUAUACUUGGUGUAGGUCAGGUUUCGAUUUGGUGGAGUAUUGUGAGAUCUUUUGUAUAGAUCGAUUAGGGUUGAUUCUUGAGGUUUUAGAGACUGAAUAUAGUGGUGAUGUUGUUCUCGGUUUGGAGUACAAUCUAAUUGUGUACCACUUGUAAACUGGACCCUUGGAAGGCGUAGUGCAUUGCAUUCAACGGGCUUACCCCUGAGCCCACCAGAUUAGCCCUUAUUUGGGUGAACUGGGUCACCAAUUUGUGGUGUUUGUGUUCUUUAAUUUCUGCACUUUAAUUACUUGUUUGUGAUGCUGCGUUUUGAUUUUACCGAUUGAGUAUUUUUGGUUUGACUGUAAUGCUGAAAAUAUAAAAUCGUUUAGGGUAAAAUCUGAUUUGGGAUCAAAAAUCCCAACAUUUGCCAAUAAAACCAAAUACGACACCUCGGAAAGAAAAGUCGACUGUGGCACCUACCGAUCCCCGCCAGAAUCCUCCCAUUGAUCCUCGUCAGCUGUUGUUUCCAGCUAUCAUGGAUAGACGGAUGGACAGUAUUACGUAUAUCCUGCCAUUCUACCAGAAUUAUCUCCCAAGAUCUUCUCCAUACCGAGAUUUCAUCCACUGUAAUUGUGAAAUGCCUUAUUUAGACUUUAUUAUUUUUGUGCAUAUAUGCAGUGUAUCCACAAUUACCAAAUCAAUGAAAAGUCUACACUCAUUCAGCACUUUAACAUGGUAUCAGACGCACAGGUUUAGCAAUCUUACCUCCGAUGGUUGCUCAACCCACUCUUGACAUCACCAAAGCAAUCACAGAUGCCUCCUCGCCAUAUUUUCUUCACUCCUCCGAUCAACCCAGUAAUGUGCUUGUCGAUACACCAUUGAAUGGUGAUAAUUACUCCGCUUGGCGCCGGGCAGUUACUCGGGCUCUCAAUGCUAAGAAUAAGCUGGGGUUUGUUAACGGAACUCUCUCCAAACCCACCGAUCCCACUGCUUCAGCCCUCUGGGAUCGAUGUUGUGACAUGAUCAUGUCGGGGCACCUCCACUCCAUAGAAAAGACCCUUGCUAGUAGCCUUGUCUAUUGUGCUACCCCGUUUGAUCUAUGGAUAGAACUCGAAACCAGAUUCCAACAGAGCAAUCGAACAACCAUUUUUCGUCUAAAAAGAGAUCUUGCAACUUUAACCCAAUACUCUCAUUAUCCUCAAGAAGAAGCCCUCCAGAAAAAUCCGCUUGCUCAACAAGCUCUGCCACUUCCUUGAUCAUUCUUUCAACUCCUUUUGCCAACUUUUGUUGUGAAUAAGCAAGAUAAAAUCUGUUGGAUUUUACUUCUUGUUCCAAGCUUUCGAAUUCUCGUAUACAUCUUCCGACGUUAAUCAACCAAUCUUCAACCUCUCUCUUGCCUUUUUUUUUCCAGAAAGAUGUGCUGCAUUUUGUGAUUCUACGUGCAAAUCUGCUGCUCGACUUUUCAGCAAUUCAAUUUUUCUAGUAAAAGUUUGUAUAUUUCCCUCCAAGUCUCUGAUAGUGCUUAGCAAUUGAUCCAUAUGAAUUCCUACGAAUAUACCAUGUAAAUACAGUCGAAUACAAAUGUGACACUUUUGCUAUUAUCUAGA
rnacentral:lncRNA from 1 species